GAUGAACGCUGGCGGCGUGCCUAAUACAUGCAAGUCGAGCGAACAGAUAAGGAGCUUGCUCCUUUGACGUUAGCGGCGGACGGGUGAGUAACACGUGGGUAACCUACCUAUAAGACUGGGAUAACUUCGGGAAACCGGAGCUAAUACCGGAUAACAUUUGGAACCGCAUGGUUCUAAAGUGAAAGAUGGUUUUGCUAUCACUUAUAGAUGGACCCGCGCCGUAUUAGCUAGUUGGUAAGGUAACGGCUUACCAAGGCAACGAUACGUAGCCGACCUGAGAGGGUGAUCGGACACACUGGAACUGAGACACGGUCCAGACUCCUACGGGAGGCAGCAGUAGGGAAUCUUCCGCAAUGGGCGAAAGCCUGACGGAGCAACGCCGCGUGAGUGAUGAAGGGUUUCGGCUCGUAAAACUCUGUUAUUAGGGAAGAACAAAUGUGUAAGUAACUGUGCACGUCUUGACGGUACCUAAUCAGAAAGCCACGGCUAACUACGUG
rnacentral:rRNA from 1 species